rnacentral:lncRNA from 1 species
GAUGAACCUCGAUAGCUUGAAGGCGCAUCCUUGGCUUAUCCCAGCGCGAUCCGUCCAUGGUCUCUUUCUCAUGUGCCUAUACCCCACCUAUAGUGGAAAGCAGUUGCUUUGUACUCGCAGGUGACAGAAAUCAUCCCUUUUUUUUCUAAAUCUCUAACAAAUUAACAUACUUUGCUGUUUUUUUCUUGAUUCGGAAUAAAUUUUUUGUGAUAUUGGGGUUUUUCUUGCGCAAGAUUAGAGAGAGAGAGAGAAAAGAAGAGAGAUAAAAGCAAAAAAAUACAGAGAGGGAUGGAGAUUGAUUUGACACCCAAGUUGGCUAAGAAGGUGCACGGAGGAAAUGGGGGAAAUUACUAUGCAUCCUGUUUUCUAACCUGUAAUUCUAGAGUCCAAUUAGUUUCUAAUUUCAAUAUUCGCAGAACUGAUGUUGUUCAUUUGAUUUUGUCUCUAAGUGGAUUAUUACGUUUCUAUUUAGCGUCGAUUUAGAAAUUUCUUGAACCAAAAUCCCAAUUUUUGGCUGACGGCGACACGACUAAUAAGCCAUUUAUGCUGAACAGGUACUCUUAUUGCAAUUAAUUGAUGAUUCUGUUGGGAUAUUCUUAAUUCUUUGAAACCCAGAUUAUUAAAUGUUCUAAUUUCUGCUGAUUGAUUUAAGUUUGGGAUCUCAGAUGGGUAGUUAAAGAUCAAAGGCAUGUGAUUUCAUUAAUUAAAUAAUGAAUCUAGCUUAUUUGGUCUAUAUGAUUUUCAUUAUUUUAUGAUUUUACAACUGUCUAAAUCAACAAUACCAGUAAUUUUAAGCAUUUUGGUCUCUGUAAGACUGCAACUAGCUAGUCUUGGAUCCAGAUUUGCUCGAAGUUUGAGUGGUAUAAUUUUUUUCUUACUGAUUUCAAUUUUUUUAUUAGCUAAUUUGGAUUGAUAGCAUGCUUGGUUUUAAAUUAUGUUCUACAGUUGUUUUCGUUCAUAGCUGGUUUAGUUGUAGCUGUUGCAAAAUUAAGAUUGAUUUGAAAGGUAAUUAUCUAAAUAAUCGUUUUGUUUAAUGAUAUAGAUUUGGUGUUGCAUCCAUCUAAUAAUGUGUUUAUCUUCGACAAUUCAAUAGAAUUUAUUGGGUUGGUUAAUUUAUAAAGCUUGUUUGAAAUUAAAGCCACAUAUAAUUAAAAUGUAAUUAUUGUUCUAGAUUUUGAAAUUGGGUUAGGAAGAUGCUUCUCUUGAUUCAUUUUGGAAAGGAAAUUAUUUUGCAGUACUUGUCUGCUGCUGUUGCACAAAUUGAUGUAACUUAUAUUUGUAUAUCUAUUGUCAUCCUUAUUCUUAAUUAAUUUUGUAGGCUCAAAUUGACCCGAGGUAUUAUUUUGUUAAAUAUGGCUACAUGGAUGCGAGUAAUUUUUUUACAUUUUCUUCUCUAACUAAGAAGAACACAAAUUUGUUUAACAUCGAGUACACAUUUACAUACUCUUUCAGCUUGAUGAAUUACAUUUUAUAUUGUCUUUUGAUUAUUUCUUCCCUUCACUAG